UACGUAGGGGGCAAGCGUUGUCCGGAUUUAUUGGGCGUAAAGAGCGUGUAGGCGGCCAUACAGGUCAGCUGUGAAAACUCGAGGCUCAACCUCGAGACGUCGGUUGAAACCGUAUGGCUAGAGUCCGGAAGAGGAGAGUGGAAUUCCUGGUGUAGCGGUGAAAUGCGCAGAUAUCAGGAGGAACACCAAUGGCGAAGGCAGCUCGCUGGGACGUGACUGACGCUGAGACGCGAAAGCGUGGGGAGCAAACAGG
rnacentral:rRNA from 1 species